rnacentral:sRNA from 1 species
GAAAAAGACAAAAAAAGAAGAAGAAAAAAAGCA